rnacentral:tRNA from 1 species
AAGGCUUUAGCUUAAUUAAAGUGUCUGUUUUGCAUGCAGAAGAUGUGGGUUAAUAUCCUGCAAGUCUUA